GCGCUCGCUUUGGCAGCACAUAUACUAAAAUUGAAACGAUACAGAGAAGAUUAGC
rnacentral:sRNA from 1 species